UUUUAGGUUUAACAAAAAAUUUCGUUCAAUAUUUAUUUGAUUGCAAACUGAUAAAAAAAAUCAAAAUGUGCAACUUUUUUUCUGGAAAACUUACCAGUCGAUUAGAAUUAGGUCUUUGGGCCAUCGCCACAUUAGCACUAAGCGUCGGUCUUAUUAUAUAUGUGUCUACCCGUGAAAACCUUGACGUAUACCACAAAAUCGCAAUUGGCGGAUGCAGCUUUACAAUUCUUGCUGCACUAUUACUUUUGCUUGGUGCAAUCUGGAAAAACGGCUGUCUUGUGUGGACUUGGGUGGUUAUAAUAAUUUUGGUAGUUAUUAUAAUUUCUACCUCAUAUAUUAUCAAGUUGUGCACAGAAUAUGAGGUUUCCACCACACGGGCUAAAGUAUACACCAUAAAGUACACUGUCUUCGAGUGAAAUAUUCCAAUGUAUAUUAAUUUAAUUUGUAAACUUG
rnacentral:sRNA from 1 species